rnacentral:rRNA from 1 species
UACGGGGGGAGCAAGCGUUGUCCGGAUUUAUUGGGCGUAAAGCGCACGUAGGCGGCUUUGUAAGUUAGAGGUGAAAGCCCAGGGCUCAACCCUGGAAUUGCCUUUAAGACUGCAUCGCUAGAAUUGUGGAGAGGUAAGUGGAAUUCCGAGUGUAGAGGUGAAAUUCGUAGAUAUUCGGAAGAACACCAGUGGCGAAGGCGACUUACUGGACACAUAUUGACGCUGAGGUGCGAAAGCGUGGGGAGCAAACAGG